GAUGAACGCUGGCGGCGUGCCUAAUACAUGCAAGUCGAGCGAACGGACGAGAAGCUUGCUUCUCUGAUGUUAGCGGCGGACGGGUGAGUAACACGUGGAUAACCUACCUAUAAGACUGGGAUAACUUCGGGAAACCGGAGCUAAUACCGGAUAAUAUUUUGAACCGCAUGGUUCAAAAGUGAAAGACGGUCUUGCUGUCACUUAUAGAUGGAUCCGCGCUGCAUUAGCUAGUUGGCAAGGUAACGGCUUACCAAGGCAACGAUGCAUAGCCGACCUGAGAGGGUGAUCGGCCACACUGGAACUGAGACACGGUCCAGACUCCUACGGGAGGCAGCAGUAGGGAAUCUUCCGCAAUGGGCGAAAGCCUGACGGAGCAACGCCGCGUGAGUGACGAAGGUCUUCGGAUCGUAAAACUCUGUUAUUAGGGAAGAACAUAUGUGUAAGUAACUGUGCACAUCUUGACGGUACCUAAUCAGAAAGCCACGGCUAACUACGUG
rnacentral:rRNA from 1 species